GAUGAACGCUGCGGCGUGCGUAACACAUGCAAGUUGAACGACGGUGCCAUGAAGUGGUAACACGGAGUGGUAUACGGAGUAGCGGACGGGUGAGUAAAGCAUGAGAAUCUGUCCUGUCGAGGGGGAUAACGUUCGGAAACGGACCCUAAUACCCCAUAGUCCGAGAGGUUAAAGGCAGCGAUGCGCGGCAGGAGGAGCUCGUGUCCUAUCAGCUAGUUGGUGAGGUAACGGCUCACCAAGGCAACGACGGGUAGCCGGCCUGAGAGGGUGACCGGCCACACUGGAACUGAGAAACGGUCCAGACUCCUACGGGAGGCAGCAGUGGGGAAUAUUGGGCAAUGGGAGGAAUCCUGACCCAGCGACGCCGCGUGAACGAAGACGGCCUUCGGGUUGUAAAGUUCUUUUAUGUGGAAGAAUGAAGUGACGGGUACCACAUGAAUAAGCCCCGGCUAACUA
rnacentral:rRNA from 1 species